AACGGCAAAAAUGUGGUCACAACAGCGUCUAUAACGUGUUUGAUGAAAUGCCUAGGAGAAGAAGGUUUUGUGAAAGAGGCAUUAGCUACUUUUUAUCGGAUGAAGGAAUAUCACUGCAAACCUGAUGUUUAUGCUUACAAUACAAUUAUCAAUGCUCUCUGCCGAGUGGGGAAUUUCAAAAAAGCGAGAUUUCUGUUGGAUCAGAUGCAAUUGCCCGGUUUUCGAUACCCACCGGAUACCUAUACUUACACCAUUUUAAUUAGCUCGUAUUGUAGAUAUGGGAUGCAAACCGGAUGCAGAAAGGCCAUAAGGAGGAGAAUGUGGGAGGCUAAUCGAAUGUUUAGGGAAAUGCUGUUCAGAGGGUUUGUACCCGAUGUGGUAACUUAUAAUUGCUUGAUCGAUGGAUGUUGCAAAACAAAUCGGAUUGGUCGGGCUCUCGAGCUGUUUGAAGAUAUGAAGACAAAAGGGUGUGUACCGAACCAGGUGACUUAUAAUUCUUUCAUAAGGUAUUACAGUGUUACCAAUGAGAUAGAAGGUGCAAUCGAGAUGAUGAGGACAAUGAAGAAGAUGGGUCAUGGUGUACCUGGUUCAAGCACGUACACACCGCUAAUACACGCUCUUGUUGAGACCAGGAGAGCGGCU
rnacentral:lncRNA from 1 species